rnacentral:rRNA from 1 species
GACGAACGCUGGCGGCGUGCUUAACACAUGCAAGUCGAACGGAAAGGCCCUGCUUGCCGGGUGCUCGAGUGGCGAACGGGUGAGUAACACGUGGGUGAUCCGCCCCUUACUUUGGGAUAAGCCUGGGAAACUGGGUCUAAUACUGGAUAGGACCAUGCUGUAGGUGGUGUGGUGGAAAGAUUAGUUUCGGUAAGGGAUGAGCUCGCGGCCUAUCAGCUUGUUGGUGGGGUAAUGGCCUACCAAGGCGUCGACGGGUAGCCGGCCUGAGAGGGUGGACGGCCACAUUGGGACUGAGAUACGGCCCAGACUCCUACGGGAGGCAGCAGUGGGGAAUAUUGCACAAUGGGCGCAAGCCUGAUGCAGCGACGCCGCGGGGGGGAUGACGGCCUUCGGGUUGUAAACUCCUUUCAGCCAUGACGAAGCCCUUGUGGUGACGGUAGUGGUAGAAGAAGCACCGGCUAACUACGUG